rnacentral:rRNA from 1 species
UACGUAGGGGGCAAGCGUUGUCCGGAAUCAUUGGGCGUAAAGCGCGCGUAGGCGGCCCGGUAAGUCCGUUGUGAAAGUCAAAGGCUCAACCUUUGAACGCCGAUGGAUACUGCCGGGCUAGAGUCCGGAAGAGGCGAGUGGAAUUCCUGGUGUAGCGGUGGAAUGCGCAGAUAUCAGGAGGAACACCAAUAGCGAAGGCAGCUCGCUGGGACGGUACUGACGCUGAGGAGCGAAAGCAUGGGGAGCGAACAGG